rnacentral:rRNA from 1 species
UACGUAGGGGGCAAGCGUUGUCCGGAAUCAUUGGGCGUAAAGCGCGUGUAGGCGGCUGGCUAAGUCCGCUCUGAAAGCCCGGGGUUCAACCCCGGGAGGCGGGUGGAUACUGGUCAGCUCGAGUCCGGAAGAGGAGUGUGGAAUUCCUGGUGUAGCGGUGAAAUGCGCAGAUAUCAGGAGGAACACCAAUGGCGAAGGCAGCACUCUGGGACGGUACUGACGCUGAGACGCGAAAGCGUGGGGAGCAAACAGG